AGCUUCAGUGUUUCUCAGCCGUUGACUUCCUGAUGCCAAGUCAUCUGAACUAAACCGCUACUGAUGUGCUCUGGUCAGUUUGGAGCCCAUUUCACAUGCAGUUCCACAAAGAUAGACAUCUCUGAACAUCCAGGACCUACUGAAGUUGGUAUGGCUCCACCCUACCAAUAGGUGGAGUUCUGUGUAGCUGACAUCGAGAAAGGAUGAAUGGGCCAAAGGAGAAGGCCCUGUGGUGAUAGGAUAAUCCUCUUUUGGCUCAGAAGAACUGAACAGAAUGGAACAAAGUCAUAGGAAUAGAACUCUGAAGGACACCAUGGCCAAAAAAGUAACU